UACAGAGGUGGCAAGCGUUGUUCGGAAUUACUGGGCGUAAAGGGCGCGUAGGCGGUCUCUUAAGUCUUGUGUGAAAUCCCUCGGCUCAACUGAGGAACUGCACGGGAUACUGGAAGACUUGAGUUCGGGAGAGGGAAGCGGAAUUCCGGGUGUAGCGGUGAAAUGCGUAGAUAUCCGGAGGAACACCGGUGGCGAAGGCGGCUUCCUGGACCGACACUGACGCUGAGGCGCGAAAGCUGGGGGAGCAAACCGG
rnacentral:rRNA from 1 species